rnacentral:rRNA from 1 species
CACGUAGGGGGCGAGCGUUGUCCGGAUUUAUUGGGCGUAAAGAGCUCGUAGGCGGUUCGGCAAGUCGGAUGUGAAAUCUCCACGCUUAACGUGGAGGGGCCAUUCGAAACUGCCGUGACUCGAGUCCGGUAGGGGAGUGCGGAAUUCCCGGUGUAGCGGUGAAAUGCGCAGAUAUCGGGAGGAACACCAAUGGCGAAGGCAGCACUCUGGGACGUGACUGACGCUGAGACGCGAAAGCG